GAUGAACGCUGGCGGCGUGCCUAAUACAUGCAAGUCGAGCGAACGGACGAGAAGCUUGCUUCUCUGAUGUUAGCGGCGGACGGGUGAGUAACACGUGGAUAACCUACCUAUAAGACUGGGAUAACUUCGGGAAACCGGAGCUAAUACCGGAUAAUAUUUUGAACCGCAUGGUUCAAAAGUGAAAGACGGUCUUGCUGUCACUUAUAGAUGGAUCCGCGCUGCAUUAGCUAGUUGGUAAGGUAACGGCUUACCAAGGCAACGAUGCAUAGCCGACCUGAGAGGGUGAUCGGCCACACUGGAACUGAGACACGGUCCAGACUCCUACGGGAGGCAGCAGUAGGGAAUCUUCCGCAAUGGGCGAAAGCCUGACGGAGCAACGCCGCGUGAGUGAUGAAGGUCUUCGGAUCGUAAAACUCUGUUAUUAGGGAAGAACAUAUGUGUAAGUAACUGUGCACAUCUUGACGGUACCUAAUCAGAAAGCCACGGCUAACUACGUGCCAGCAGCCGCGGUAAUACGUANGUGGGCAGCGUUAUCCGGAAUUUAUGGGCGUAAAGCGCGCGUAGCGGUUUUUUAAGUCUGAUGUGAAAGCCCACGGCUCAACCGUGGAGGGUCAUUGGAAACUGGAAAACUUGAGUGCAGAAGAGGAAAGUGGAAUUCCAUGUGUAGCGGUGAAAUGCGCAGAGAUAUGGAGGAACACCAGUGGCGAAGGCGACUUUCUGGUCUGUAACUGACGCUGAUGUGCGAAAGCGUGGGGAUCAAACAGGAUUAGAUACCCUGGUAGUCCACGCCGUAAACGAUGAGUGCUAAGUGUUAGGGGGUUUCCGCCCCUUAGUGCUGCAGCUAACGCAUUAAGCACUCCGCCUGGGGAGUACGACCGCAAGGUUGAAACUCAAAGGAAUUGACGGGGACCCGCACAAGCGGUGGAGCAUGUGGUUUAAUUCGAAGCAACGCGAAGAACCUUACCAAAUCUUGACAUCCUUUGACAACUCUAGAGAUAGAGCCUUCCCCUUCGGGGGACAAAGUGACAGGUGGUGCAUGGUUGUCGUCAGCUCGUGUCGUGAGAUGUUGGGUUAAGUCCCGCAACGAGCGCAACCCUUAAGCUUAGUUGCCAUCAUUAAGUUGGGCACUCUAAGUUGACUGCCGGUGACAAACCGGAGGAAGGUGGGGAUGACGUCAAAUCAUCAUGCCCCUUAUGAUUUGGGCUACACACGUGCUACAAUGGACAAUACAACGGGCAGCGAAACCGCGAGGUCAAGCAAAUCCCAUAAAGUUGUUCUCAGUUCGGAUUGUAGUCUGCAACUCGACUACAUGAAGCUGGAAUCGCUAGUAAUCGUAGAUCAGCAUGCUACGGUGAAUACGUUCCCGGGUCU
rnacentral:rRNA from 1 species